rnacentral:lncRNA from 1 species
AUCCAAAGCUGGUACCGAGGCGUGUGUCGAGCCGCACCGAGAAAUCAGCGGCGCCGUUGUAGGACUGAGUGUUGGUGGCGGUGGCAGGGAGGAGAGGAGGUUGGGGUGGUGGUGCCGGCGAGUGAAUGCGGGAGGUGGAGGUGGAGGUGGAGGUAGAAGGGGAGGGGGAGGAGGGGGUGGUGAUGUUGGUGGGAAGACUAAUUUGUCCGUUUAUCAUUUUUUUUUUGAGCUUAGUGUUCCAAUAAUUCUUGACAUCAUUGUCAGUUCUUCCUCGCAGCUUGGAAGCAAUAACAGACCACCUAUUUCAAAAGAUAAGAUGAGUGAAUUUGUUUGGAGUAGAAAACUUGAAUUAUAUAUAUGUGGAGAGUCU